rnacentral:rRNA from 1 species
UACGUAGGGGGCAAGCGUUGUCCGGAAUCAUUGGGCGUAAAGCGCGUGUAGGCGGCUGAGUAAGUCUGCUCUGAAAGCCCGGGGCUCAACCCCGGGAGGCGGGUGGAUACUGCUCAGCUCGAGUCCGGAAGAGGAGUGUGGAAUUCCUGGUGUAGCGGUGAAAUGCGCAGAUAUCAGGAGGAACACCCGUAGCGAAGGCGGCACUCUGGGCCGAUACUGACACUGAGGAGCGAAGGCGUGGGGAGCGAACAGG